rnacentral:rRNA from 1 species
AGGAGGCUUGCGGUGCUAUAAUGCAGUCGAGCGAAUGGAUUGAGAGCUUGCUCUCAAGAAGUUAGCGGCGGACGGGUGAGUAACACGUGGGUAACCUGCCCAUAAGACUGGGAUAACUCCGGGAAACCGGGGCUAAUACCGGAUAACAUUUUGAACUGCAUGGUUCGAAAUUGAAAGGCGGCUUCGGCUGUCACUUAUGGAUGGACCCGCGUCGCAUUAGCUAGUUGGUGAGGUAACGGCUCACCAAGGCAACGAUGCGUAGCCGACCUGAGAGGGUGAUCGGCCACACUGGGACUGAGACACGGCCCAGACUCCUACGGGAGGCAGCAGUAGGGAAUCUUCCGCAAUGGACGAAAGUCUGACGGAGCAACGCCGCGUGAGUGAUGAAGGCUUUCGGGUCGUAAAACUCUGUUGUUAGGGAAGAACAAGUGCUAGUUGAAUAAGCUGGCACCUUGACGGUACCUAACCAGAAAGCCACGGCUAACUACGUGCCAGCAGCCGCGGUAAUACGUAGGUGGCAAGCGUUAUCCGGAAUUAUUGGGCGUAAAGCGCGCGCAGGUGGUUUCUUAAGUCUGAUGUGAAAGCCCACGGCUCAACCGUGGAGGGUCAUUGGAAACUGGGAGACUUGAGUGCAGAAGAGGAAAGUGGAAUUCCAUGUGUAGCGGUGAAAUGCGUAGAGAUAUGGAGGAACACCAGUGGCGAAGGCGACUUUCUGGU